UUGUUAUUGUAUUUUUUUUAGGAUAUCUGCAGUUCCACUCAAAUAAUCCUUUGCAGAUUUCUUCAAGACAAUCAUGGGAUGCAACACAAGGUUGAUGUCCCUCAUCAAGACAUAGAUACUCUUCGAGAUGAUGUCACCUGAGCAGUCCGACACUUCAAUGACAGCUAUGAUAUCAAUCGUAUGUAUUUAUGUUAUAGAAUUUAAUAUAACAUUUAGAAUGCUCUAAUGUGUUAUCUAUAUGAACUAAAAUUAUGAUUAUUAAAUAAAUUACAAACUCAAGGUUACUCUC